UACGGGGGGGGCAAGCGUUGUUCGGAAUUACUGGGCGUAAAGGGCUCGUAGGUGGCCAACUAAGUCAGACGUGAAAUCCCUCAGCUUAACUGGGGAACUGCGUCUGAUACUGGAUGGCUUGAGUUUGGGAGAGGGAUGCGGAAUUCCAGGUGUAGCGGUGAAAUGCGUAGAUAUCUGGAGGAACACCGGUGGCGAAGGCGGCAUCCUGGACCAAUACUGACACUGAGGAGCGAAAGCUAGGGGAGCAAACAGG
rnacentral:rRNA from 1 species